GAUGAAGAACGCAGCGAAAUGCGAUAAGUAGUGUGAAUUGCAGAAUUCAGUGAAUCAUCGAAUCUUUGAACGCACAUUGCGCCCCUUGGUAUUCCAUGGGGCAUGCCUGUUCGAGCGUCAUUUGUACCUUCAAGCUCUGCUUGGUGUUGGGUGUUUGUCUCGCCUCUGCGUGUAGACUCGCCUCAAAACAAUUGGCAGCCGGCGUAUUGAUUUCGGAGCGCAGUACAUCUCGCGCUUUGCACUCAUAACGACGACGUCCAAAAGUACAUUUUUACACUCUUGACCUCGGAUCAGGUAGGGAUACCCGCUGAACUUAAGCAUAUCAAUAUGCGGAGGA
rnacentral:misc_RNA from 1 species